CAUCCACGUUGCGACCAAGAUAUAACUCUGGCCAUUUCUCUUACCAAGGUUUAGAGGGGAGAAGAUAGGAUAGAGAAGGUUGCUCGUGGAAAAUGCGCAAUUUGGUCUGGCACUAGUAAAUACGAGAACGUUGGAAAAGUGAUUCCGCUGAUAUUGCUGCUUGAAAUUUAAGGUCGUCCUUGACACGUACGAAACAACUCCAUUUCCGUCGAUUGAAAAUGAAAAAGACACUGAUGAUAAUCGACGUUCAUUCUUCGAAGUCAUUAAAAAGACAAGUGAUUGUCAAUGAAAAAAUUGGGAUACAAUGAUAUCAUAGUGAUAAAUUCAUGAAUUAUAAAUUGUUCGAUGAGUAACGUGAUCGAAAUUUUAUGACGAAUGCUUGAUACAAAGUUAAAAAAUGAAAAAUAAGAAAAGAAAAAGAAGGAAAAAAAGGAAAAAACAAUUAAGAAUAAAUGAAAAUAAAAUAAUUAAUGAUAAACUAUAGAUAAUGGUAAACGAUUUAAGUAACGAUGAUAUAUGUAACGUUCGAUACGAAAUAUCGAUGCAAUUUGACGAUAAAAGAGUAACGAAUCCCUCGAAGCUAUCAGUAAAACCCGAGGCGAUAUUGCUAACGAGUUUCUGACGAUGCCUUAUGCGACCUACGGGUACCUUUUAUGUUCUAUAAUGUGCUUGCAAUCCAGGAUUCUCAGCCGGAUGUGGAUUUCGUCGACUCGAAAAAGGAAUACAGAGCUUCGAAACGAAAACUGACUGUAAGAUGAUGAAAAAGAAGGGGACAGGGAGAGAGGGAGGGAGGGAGAGAGAGAGAGAAAAGAGAUCUUGCGGCAGAGAAAUUGGAUGUGUAAGUUAGUUCGAAGGUUACAAAA